GGGAGCAGGUCUUCGGUAAUAGAGGGGGGCCCUACUGGCUAAGCAUAGAGAAGAGCACUCUCUGAACAUCCCUACACCUCACCCGCGGCUCCGGCAACAGCAGUGCCCCCCUCCUACAGCAGAAUUAGUGACCAAGCUGAAGAUACCGAACAGACACGCACUACCUCCCGGACAGACGCUUUCCUGGAUCAUUGCAUUUAAUCCUCAAAAUAGCGACGCAAGCAAAUAGGAUCUGCGCUGUACAGAUGAGGACACCGAGGCUAGAGAAGCACUACCCUGCCUCUUGGAUGUCCAGGACUGCGUCAGGUGACUUCCUCCUUUGCUAGAGAAAGGGCUGGAGGAGCUGUGGGAAGAGACUCAGUACGACCUGUCGCUUGAAACUUUUAAAAUGCAAAUAAGUGUUUCAAUUCAAAAUUCAGAAUAUCCUUCUGAAUCUAAAGGAUAUCCACUCUCGAUUUUUAGAAAGCAAUCCGGCAAAGAUUAUUAAAAUUAAAAUAAUAGUCACUCUGGGUGCAAAUGUGACAG